rnacentral:tRNA from 1 species
GGUUUCGUGGUGUAGUGGUUAUCACGUCUGCUUUACACGCAGAAGGUCGCGAGUUCGAUCCUCGCCGGAACCU